rnacentral:rRNA from 1 species
GAAGCCUGAUGCAGCAACGCCGCGUGAGGGAUGACGGCCUUCGGGUUGUAAACCUCUUUUAGCAGGGAAGAAGCGAGAGUGACGGUACCUGCAGAAAAAGCACCGGCUAACUACGUGCCAGCAGCCGCGGUAAUACGUAGGGUGCAAGCGUUAUCCGGAAUUAUUGGGCGUAAAGAGCUCGUAGGCGGUCUGUCGCGUCUGCUGUGAAAUUCCGAGGCUCAACCUCGGGCUUGCAGUGGGUACGGGCAGACUAGAGUGCGGUAGGGGAGAUUGGAAUUCCUGGUGUAGCGGUGGAAUGCGCAGAUAUCAGGAGGAACACCGAUGGCGAAGGCAGAUCUCUGGGCCGUAACUGACGCUGAGGAGCGAAAGGGUGGGGAGCAAACAGGCUUAGAUACCCUGGUAGUCCACCCCGUAAACGUUGGGAACUAGUUGUGGGGUCCUUUCCACGGAUUCCGUGACGCAGCUAACGCAUUAAGUUCCCCGCCUGGGGAGUACGGCCGCAAGGCUAAAACUCAAAGGAAUUGACGGGGACCCGCACAAGCGGCGGAGCAUGCGGAUUAAUUCGAUGCAACGCGAAGAACCUUACCAAGGCUUGACAUACACGAGAACGGGCCAGAAAUGGUCAACUCU